rnacentral:rRNA from 1 species
ACACUGGAAUUGUAUUUCUAGUGAUUGGAAUGAUGGGAAUCCAAACCCCUUUCAGAGUAACAAUUGGAGGGCAAGUCUGGUGCCAGCAGCCGCGGUAAUUCCAGCUCCAAUAGCGUAUAUAAAAGUUGUUGCAGUUAAAAAGCUCGUAGUUGGAUAUCUGCUGGAAGCAAUGAGUCCGCCCUUUUCAUAAGGGUGUGCACUUGAUGAAUUCUGGCAUGAUUUCAUCCUUAUA